rnacentral:rRNA from 1 species
AGCAAUACCGCGUGAGGGAGGAAGGCUCUUGGGUUGUAACCCUCUUUUGUCAGGGAAGAAGUUCUGACGGUACCUGACGAAUCAGCAUCGGCUAACUCCGUGCCAGCAGCCGCGGUAAUACGGAGGAUGCAAGCGUUAUCCGGAAUUAUUGGGCGUAAAGCGUCCGCAGGUGGUUNUGCAAGUCUGCUGUNAAAGCGCGAGGCUUAACCUCGUACAGGCAGUGGAAACUGCACGACUUGAGUAUGAUAGGGGCAGAGGGAAUUCCCGGUGUAGCGGUGAAAUGCGUAGAUAUUGGGAAGAACACCGGUGGCGAAAGCGCUCUGCUGUGUCAUAUCUGACACUGAGGGACGAAAGCUAGGGGAGCGAAAGGGAUUAGAUACCCCUGUAGUCCUAGCCGUAAACAAUGGACACUAGGCGUUG